AAGAUCAUACUUUACAGGAUCAUUUCUAUAGUAUGCAUCGUCCCCUCAAGGUGCAAAUCUGGAGUCGUCAUCAACCACGAUGAUGAGAUAGGUCCAUCCACCUGAGCGUGAGAUCGCUGGUUAUUUAUCGUACCGCGAUUAUGAUAAUUAUUCAGCAACGAUGAUCGCUUACGGUUCGCCGGAUGGUGGGUGGACAGUCUGAGUGGU